GACGAACGCUGGCGGCGUGCCUAAUACAUGCAAGUAGAACGCACAGUUUAUACCGUAGCUUGCUACACCAUAGACUGUGAGUUGCGAACGGGUGAGUAACGCGUAGGUAACCUGCCUGGUAGCGGGGGAUAACUAUUGGAAACGAUAGCUAAUACCGCAUAAUAUUAAUUAUUGCAUGAUAAUUAAUUGAAAGGUGCAAUUGCACCACUACCAGAUGGACCUGCGUUGUAUUAGCUAGUAGGUGAGGUAACGGCUCACCUAGGCGACGAUACAUAGCCGACCUGAGAGGGUGAUCGGCCACACUGGGACUGAGACACGGCCCAGACUCCUACGGGAGGCAGCAGUAGGGAAUCUUCGGCAAUAGACGAAAGUCUGACCGAGCAACGCCGCGUGAGUGAAGAAGGUUUUCGGAUCGUAAAGCUCUGUUGUAAGAGAAGAACGGGUGUGAGAGUGGAAAGUUCACACUGUGGCGGUAUCUUACCAGAAAGGGACGGCUAACUACGUG
rnacentral:rRNA from 1 species